rnacentral:rRNA from 2 species
UACGGAGGGAGCUAGCGUUGUUCGGAAUUACUGGGCGUAAAGCGCACGUAGGCGGCUCAGCAAGUCAGGGGUGAAAUCCCGGGGCUCAACCCCGGAACUGCCCUUGAAACUGCUAGGCUAGAAUCCUGGAGAGGCGAGUGGAAUUCCGAGUGUAGAGGUGAAAUUCGUAGAUAUUCGGAAGAACACCAGUGGCGAAGGCGACUCGCUGGACAGGUAUUGACGCUGAGGUGCGAAAGCGUGGGGAGCAAACAGG